UGACCCCGUGCGGGAGAGUCCUCCGAGCACCUCGGAGGCGCCGAAGGAGCAACUCCUCCCCGGAAUCUCUCAGGCUCACGUACCGCACGGACGAG
rnacentral:ncRNA from 2 species